ensembl:lncRNA
AGAGGGGUACAGAGACGGAGGAGGCAGAUGUAUUCACUGCUCUCUAAGGAACAUCAUGUACCUUAAUACCCAAGAGUCCUCACAGCACCCAGAAGCCCAGAAUCUGAAGAGGACUCUAGAAGUUACCAUGUUAAAUGUAUGUUGGCAAGGCUCAUUCAUUCAUUUAUUCAACCAUAUAUUUAUUCCACAAAUUUAUCACUGCCUCCUAUAGCCGAGAUACUAUGUCACCGUGUGACAACAGCUGUGUUAGUUAGGUCCCUUGACUGAAACUGACAGAAAUCCAGUUCAGGCCAAAAAGGGGUUGGUCCAAUGCACAGGACCACUGUGAACUGUUGUGUAGGUUGUGCACUGCACAACCCUAGAAAGCAGCAUGUGAACAUCAGUUGUCAUACUACAACAAUUUUCUAGAAGGGAACAUUCAUAUGGUUGAUGCAAUUUCCUGAUAAAUGGAAAUGUUAUGGUCUUGAGAAAGGGAGCUUUCUCCGAGUUCACACAACAGCACCACGUGGGCUGGCCCUGCCACCACCACAGCCUGGGAAGGGCUGGAAAGAGCUGGCUCUCAGGUGCUGAUCCUUAAUAAACAUCUUACACCCCAGUGUGUGUUCCAUUGAGCCCAACCCACAACACAAGAGCCCUUUGCUAGCCGUGGUAAACCAUGACCUGGACGCAAUACUCACAGCAAUAAAUACUUCCAAAUUCUACCAAUAAAAAAAAACUUAUUAAGAAAAUUAAUCAUCAAUCCAACUAUGAUAGAGUAGCUUUCAUCAAACCAAUCUGCCUGCCAAGAAGAAUUAUAAAACCUAGGGGGAAACAAACUGUUUGAAGGCAUCAGAGAGAAAUCAAGGUAAUUAGGAUUUGAAGGUCCAGGAUCUUUGAAAAAUUAGAAAAACACAUUAAAGCAAGCAAGACUUUUCUCUGCUGCUCUUUCCUGUAAGAGCAUUUGCCAGUUCACAUCAUUGGGUCCAGAGGCUGAGCCCCAAGCAAUAACGUUGAGCAUUUGACAGUCCCAUGGUGUUGGGAAGACAAAAGUUGGAAUUCAGGGAUCCCAAGGUAGUUAUGACUUAAUAAACCAAGAUCCCAGAGAAAAGAGAACAUCAGCAAAAGAAGCCUAAAGUUCUGUGCAGCUUCUGCUCCUGAAGUAUUUGCUGAGUCUUAAGCAGCCCCUGAAUAAGAGUCUGGGAACCCAAGCAGAAAAUAGCUGCUAAGUGGCUACAAAUGUUAAAAAACAAAUAAAUUGUGUCAGUUGUAUAGAAUGCAAAGACUAAAAUUAGAAUAUGGACCCACCAAGAAGGAAUAGCCUCCAUUCACAUAAGACUUUUUUAGUUGAGACGCCAAAGUGAGAAACCAGAAAUUAAGUGGCCGACAUAGAGUCUACAUAAAACCUGAAACUGUCUUGAACCAUCCAAGACCUGACUGAACCAAAGUAACCCACCCUUAGUGAACUUGCUGGCCAAAUAAAUAAAAAUAAACAGAUCUUCUCCAGAGAUGGACAACAUCUUCAAGACUCUUAGAAUUUUUCAAAUACAAUGUCCAGCAUUGAAUCAAAAAUCAUGAAGCAUGCCAGAGGAUAGGACCAAACCAUUGAAAAUCUAGAGAAAAAAUAGACAACAGAAACACUCACAGAUGAUCCAGAUAUUUGAAUUAUCAGACACAGAACUUAAAAUGAUUGUGAUUAAUUUGUUCAAGAAAAUGUAUGACAAGAUGGAAAUUUCACCAGUGAAUUCUUUUAAAAGAAUACAAUGUAAAUUUUAAUAUAAAAAAUGUAAUUAUGGAUAUUAUGGGUGAAAGAGAUUAAUUUAACAGCAGAUUAAUUCAUCAGAAGAGAAGGUUAUUCAACUGGAAGAUAGAUUAGCAGAAAAUGUAGACAGGCACACAGAGAAAAAAAAAAUGGUAAAAAAUUAUAAAUAACCCAUAGGCCAAAGAAGAAAUCAAAAGGAAAACAUUUUGAAAUGAAAGAUAAUAAAAUACACUAUUAUCAAAACAUGUAAAAUACAACUGAA